GUGUGGCUGAAACACACAGGUCCAAGGGCAAGUUGCACCUAACUAGUAGUCUAGUUCCAGCAGGUGAGCUUGCAGUUACUGAGUUCCAGCAAAACACUUUGUAACAGCUGUGAGGGUGCUCAUUCGGGGGUAAAUUGUUUACCAGAGAGAAACAGUGUUUGAGCAACCCCACAUAAGCCCUGAUAGUACUGAUAAAAGACUCCCUCCCCACAUCCCCAGCCCUGAAACAGGAUCGUCUGUUGAAAGACACUCUCCUUCAGAUUUACUCAGUGUCUUCAUCAGCCUCCAAAAGUGAGAGAGCAAGCGGGGAGCUCCAGAUGCCAAGGAAGGAAGAGAUCAAGAUGGCAUGGAGUAACAAGUCCGUUUUCUUUGUGAAACGUAUUUUUAGAGCUGGACUCUGAAUGAGUGAGACCGGAAGCCCCUGGAGACCAGAAGCCUCAGGAGACUGGCAGCCUCUGGAGACCGGAAGACCUGUUUCAUCCUUUUCUGUAGCCGACCCAGUCCCCAGGACUGUGCUCCCUAACUGCUCAGACACUGCCAUCCUGGAGGGGGAGUGCAGGCUGAAUGCAAUACACAUUUCCAGGUUGCCAGUUUCUUGCUGAUUCUGCAACAAAGGAAAAGAUCUUCUCUCAUCCAAUGUAAAAGGUGAAAAAAAAAAAAAAAAGCUUGAGUUUCUCUUGGUGGAAAACAAAGGGACGUUUGCUUAACUGUGACUCUGCCUCUCCAACAUGCAAAGUGUUGUUUUUCUGCAAAAUAGGGUUUUUAAUAUUUGGUAAGUUUUUGAGAACACUGCACGGUAUCAGCUCUGAAUGGUUGGGCUCAGUUCAAAGGCUUGUAUAAAUAUCGCUAAAGAAGAGCCAUAUUAAAGCGUCCAGUCUCCCUGAUUUGCGCUUUAACUUUACCUACGCAUAAAUCUGCAGAAGAGUUCCUCUUCUCAAUUUCACAUUCCUCCAGACUCUAACACUGGCCUUUUUAUGGACCAGAAAUCUGGCCACUUUGUAUUCCUUCAGUAGCUACAGCAAUAAAGCCACCCUCGUUAUGGAAUAAAAUUGAAAACUGUCUCCCAACUGUGCAGUUGAUUUGAAUGAAAUCUGUUCUGUUUGUCUUACUGCGUUGUAGUCAGUGAUAGAUGAAGAGGGGAGUUUGGGGGCUUCUGUGGAUGCUGACACUGGGCCUGAUAACUAGAGCUGUAACCACGCCACCAUCUAUCAUUCUGGGAAGCUUGAAGGUCUGCUCACCAGAAGCUGGCGCGCACCUCUUAGUGGGACGGGGUGGGCUUGCUCUGAUUUGUCACACGAUGUCUUUAAUGCAGAAGGUUAGAAAGGUUUGAAUUUGCUGAGAAAAAUCAUAGUUUUUCAUUUGUGGACUUUGCUUUAAAGAAAAUAUUUUCUGACAAGUGUGUGUGUGUGUCUUUGUGUGUCUUUGUGUCCCAGUCAUCACACCGACAGGGACAUCCCAUUUUGAUUCCCACUGCCUACAUAGAGUAUUGCUUGUGUGCAUACAUUUGUAAUCUGAGUGGCCCUGGCUCCUUGGUCAAACACGAACACAGCUCUG